UGGAGGCCACUUCUGUGCUCAGGGCACACACGUGAAAAGGCCCUGAAGCAGGAAGAUUGGGCCUUUGGAGAAGCUGGAGGAAGCGAGGAUGUGGCUGAGGCCUCGGCAGUCAGCCGUGGGCCAGGUGGUCUCUGAGAGGUGGCCCCUCAGCUCCCACUGGCUCAGAGGAAUGAUGAGGGGUGAAGAGCUCCUGGCGGCGGGGUAACGACCUCACCGCCACAUUUUCUACGUGCUGUCCCAAGUCAUUGGUUUCUGAACCUUUGGCACUGCUGACCUUUUGGACUGGAUACGUGUCUGCUGUGUAGGAUAUUUAGCAGCAUCCCUGGGCCCUCCCUCACACAGUCAUGUUUCAGUCAACGACAGACCCCACACACAGUCAUGUUUCGGUCAACGACAGACCCCACACACAACAGCGGUCCCAAAGACUAGAAUGGAGCUAAAAAAUUCCGAUCGCGUGGUGAAAUCAUAGCCCUUAGAACAGCUGGAGCUCUGAAACCUGGCCAAGGCGGAGCCUGCGACCUUAAGUCAGGAACCAGCAAGCCUACAGAAUCCUGCUCCAGAUGGACCUCUGAUUCAGUCUGACUUGUGACCUUUGACCUCUGGCAGGUUCCGUUGGAGUGGGUAAUGCAGACUCCGAG